AGCAAAUAAUUUACUUUGGCUGAACAGAGAGCAAGAGAAAAUAAAAGUGUCUAAGAAAACCUAAACAAGGCAUAACUCUCAAGUUUCAAGUUAAAAAAAAAAUCCCUGCAAGAAUUGCAACAUAUGGAUGCUGCUGGACCUGGUGAAUCCUGCACGAUAAUUAAAGAUGCUCACAAUCAGACAGAUCAAAAACAGAUAGGCUGAAAAAAGGAGAAAAAGGAAAGAGGCAAUAAAUAGACAUAAAUAUGGAAGCAACCUAAAUGUCCAUCAGUGGAUGAAUGGAUAAAGAAAAUGUGGUAUGUGUAUAUACAUAGCGGAAUAUUAUUCAGCCAUAAAAAAGAAGAAAAUCCUGUCAUUUGCAACUACA